rnacentral:rRNA from 1 species
AUUGAACGCUGGCGGCAUGCCUUACACAUGCAAGUCGAACGGCAGCACGGGUGCUUGCACCUGGUGGCGAGUGGCGAACGGGUGAGUAAUACAUCGGAACGUACCUUAUCGUGGGGGAUAACGCAGCGAAAGCUGUGCUAAUACCGCAUACGCCCUGAGGGGGAAAGCGGGGGAUCGAAAGACCUCGCGCGAUUAGAGCGGCCGAUGCCUGAUUAGCUUGUUGGUGGGGUAAAAGCCCACCAAGGCGACGAUCAGUAGCUGGUCUGAGAGGACGCUCAGCCACACUGGGAAUGAGACACGGCACAGACUCCUACGGGAGGCAGCAGUGGGGAAUUUUGGACAAUGGGGGCAACCCUGGUCCAGCAAUGCCGCGUGAGUGAAGAAGGCCUUCGGGUUGUAAAGCUCUUUUGUCAGGGAAGAAACACCGGCUCUAACACAGUCCGGGAAUGACGGUACCUGAAGAAUAAGCACCGGCUAACUACGUGCCAGCCGCCGCGGUAA